UGGGGAAUCUUGGACAAUGGGGGCAACCCUGAUCCAGCCAUGCCGCGUGAGUGAUGAAGGCCUUAGGGUCGUAAAGCUCUUUCGCCUGUGAAGAUAAUGACGGUAGCAGGUAAAGAAACCCCGGCUAACUCCGUGCCAGCAGCCGCGGUAAUACGGAGGGGGUUAGCGUUGUUCGGAAUUACUGGGCGUAAAGCGCACGUAGGCGGACCAGAAAGUUAGAGGUGAAAUCCCAGGGCUCAACCCUGGAACUGCCUUUAAAACUAUCAGUCUAGAGGUCGAGAGAGGUGAGUGGAAUUCCGAGUGUAGAGGUGAAAUUCGUAGAUAUUCGGAGGAACACCAGUGGCGAAGGCGGCUCACUGGCUCGAUACUGACGCUGAGGUGCGAAAGUGUGGGGAGCAAACAGGAUUAGAUACCCUGGUAGUCCACGCCGUAAACGAUGAGUGCUAGUCGUCGGCAGGCAUGCCUGUCGGUGACGCAGCUAACGCAUUAAGCACUCCGCCUGGGGAGUACGGUCGCAAGAUUAAAA
rnacentral:rRNA from 1 species